rnacentral:sRNA from 1 species
UGUAAACCGAUGAUGUAAUAAAAAAUAAA